UCGCUGGGUAUGACCCAAAAAGCACAAAUAAAUAAAUAAAGGCGCUUCUGUAUUUUAGAUUACAAUGGUCAGUUGGCAGGACCAUUCAGAGCUCUGAGAAACCAGAUUAUUUCCAUGAUGGGAGGCUCAAUGUGCUAACCUGUUUCAACAACACAGCAAUAAAACCAGUCUCAGUAUAGCUUUUGCUUGUUGUUGUAUAGUAUUUUUGGAUAAAGCUUUUCCCUACCUACUGCUGAGGAUCUGAUAACCUGUGAAGCCCUUCAAGCUCAAAAAGAUCGUUUCACACACUCCUGCUCUAAGCCAAUCAAUAUACCAGAUUUCAAGCAUCACUGUUCAAGUCCCCCCACUUGAACAAACACAUCAAGAGGGUAAAAAGUGUCUUCCAAGUAAUGAUCCCAUGGCUAGUCCACGUGUGUCCGACCCGCCCUACUCACUCCCGGCACAGGCUCUGACACUCGCCCACGGCAGCGGAGGGAGCGAGGCUGCUCUACGCUGAAUCCAAAUCGGCGCUGAGGGGGGUUCUAAGAGGCUGCAAACACUGAACUAGAUCCUAUUUCCAGAUUAAGUAGAUUAUUACUGAUUACCUGGCACUCUAUUCUGCAUUAGCAAGGAUUAUUUAGAGCUAAAUAAAGGGCUGAACUAGAGCCAGAGUGAUAGUACAGUGGGGAGGGCGUUUGCCUUGCAUGCGGCCAAGCCGGGUUCGAUCCCUGGCAUUCCAUACGGUUCCCAGAGCACCACCAGGAAUAAUUCCUGAGUGCAGAGCCAGGAAUAAUCCCUAAGCAUCUCUGGGUGUGACCCGGAAAAGGAAAAAAGAAAAAAGAGCUGAAUUAAAGUGUCUAUUUUAAAACAGAGCUAUUACAAUUUAGGACUUUAUUAAGGUAAUCCUAUCAUCUGUAAGAAUGCUUUGGCAAAAAUUCAAAUCAAAAGUUCACUGGCCUCCUUAAAACAGGUUAAUUUCUCAAUUUUAAGUAACAUUUACAUGUAGGAAAUCAGUAAAAAUGACUAACAUCUUUGCUAAAUCCUAAUUUCAAGGAUGAAAGUUUAACUUAAAGGAAAAGUUAACCCAAACAGAUUGUGUUUCCUAUGCAGCCAGGUUUUUACCAACAGUACUUAAGUACUUAAAAUGGGGAGGGGGAGAGAGGCGAGGCACAUUCCAGUAAAAUUACCUUUUUUAAAAAAAAUUUAUUUUGGGUCAUACCUACAAACCCAACUUACACAAGCUAAGAAGUUGACUCCUGGCUCUGUGCUCAGGGCUAUUCUGGAGGUGCACUAUCCCCUCUGUACUCUCUUGCCAAUACUAGUAAAACUAAUUCUUGUAUACUUCGUGCUACACGGUCUUGAAGACACUUAUUAGUCUAGACUACUAAAAUUUGAAAAUAGAAAGCUGUUACCAGCAAGAGCAAACAGCACCUACUAACCUCGCCCCCAGUGCGCUGAACACAGCCAUCUGAUGCUUCGGUAUGUGAUUUUCAAGCGGUCAGUAAGCCCAUUCCCAUUAAGACCAUUUCCCUGGACUUGCCGUUAUCUCCUGCUUCUGGUCACACUCACGCCAGCUUUUCUGGGUCCUUCCCUCCUUAGGAAGCUCCUUAGAAAGCGCCCACUGGAAACAGCCUUUAUUUGCAAAUAUUUAUAGAAGCAAGUCUCCUCGCUUCUUUCCUUCAGACUCUCGGGAGACAGCCACCCUACACGUGUCAUGAGGGAUGACACUCGUCCUUCACCGGAACCGCAGCAAUGGGCACAGGCCCAGGACAUGGAAUAGGGUCAGCCGGAAGCUGGUUUGGUGAAUGUGCAGAACGCUCUAAGGUGUGUGAGGAAAUCAAUACGAAGCAGCUGGCAUUGGGACACUGAUAAGAACUGUCUUCAAGUAUCCACCAAGAGAGUCCAGGAGUGGCCGAAGAACCAUGGGCUCCACGCCAGGACUCCGCGGAGCUGCACCCCUGGCCCAGCAGGGUUCUUCCACUGGAGACAGACGCACGUGAAUUAAACACGUGGAACCGUCAAAAGUUCAUCAUCAUUUUAGAAUACGAAGCAAAGGCAACCCUGCUUAUUAGUAACGGGGCCAGGGCCUGUUGCCUCGCUGUGUAAAAUCUUCUGAGAGGGUCACAGCGCAGAGCACGCUGGAUUCUACACAGGGGGCCCGAAUAAUCAGGGUCUGACGCAUCUAUUUCAACACAGAUCGGGGCUACAUACUGUCGGAGAUUAAUAUAUUGACCAAUAUGCUCUCCCUUUCCUCCCAGACCCCGGAAUAAAACAUGAGGUUCUUACUUCAACUAGGAGUCAUGCUAAACCCCUUGAGAAGGGCCAAUCUGACAUUUAUUAACUCCAAUUAGUAGUAGGACAUUAAAAUUUGAGCAAAUUAAAAAACCAGGACACAAUGGCCCUCCGAGGUAGUCUUGGGGGGGAGGGGGCAAAGAAACAGGAGGGAGACGCAGAAACGAGCUCGUCUCCCUCCAGGCCGCCAGGGAGGCGCGGACCAACGCAUCAAGGAUCCGGAGCUCAAGGCGUAACGUCAGGGGCCCACAUGGGCCUCACGGGGUGGGACGGGCCCCGAGUCGGGGAAGUGCGGGAACUGGCAGACAGACCAGUUCUUCCAUCCUCACUGAGAACAGCCUUCCCUCUGCUCGCGCAUGC